rnacentral:lncRNA from 1 species
AUGGUGAUUUGAAGCCCUGAUUGACUGGAUAUUACAUGAUUUGGGAGUAAAAAGAUGCAUUCUUCCCUUUCAAUGACAGUGUUUCACGUCUGGAAUAUCACAAGUUUAAUUUGCCUUCCUUCAUAUAUGGAUAAAAGACCUAAGGAACUGUGGAUUAAGUGACUCAUGAUGUGGGCUUCCCUCAUAGCUGGAUUCCUAAAUCCUGAAUCCUCUUCUGCAUCACAUCUUUUGCACGAGGGCUGCAAAAGGCAUCUGCUGACUGAAGCCAUCAGUCUGGUGGGCUGA